rnacentral:rRNA from 1 species
AUCCGUAGGGGGCGAGCGUUGUUCGGAAUGACUGGGCGUAAAGGGCGUGUAGGCGGCGGUGUAAGUCUGGAGUGAAAGUCCCGCAUUCAAUGUGGGAAUUGCUUUGGAUACUGCAGUGCUAGAGUGCGGAAGAGGUAAGUGGAAUUCCCAGUGUAGCGGUGAAAUGCGUAGAGAUUGGGAGGUACACCAGUGGCGAAGGCGACUUACUGGGCCGUAACUGACGCUGAGGCGCGAAAGCGUGGGGAGCGAACAGGAUUAGAUACCCUGGUAGUCCACGCGGUAAACGAUGAAUGCUAGGUGUUGCGGGUAUCGACCCCUGCAGUGCCGGAGUAAACACAAUAAGCAUUCCGCCUGGGGAGUACGGCCGCAAGGUUGAAACUCAAAGGAAUUGACGGGG